rnacentral:rRNA from 1 species
GACGAACGCUGGCGGCGUGCUUAACACAUGCAAGUCGAACGGAAAGGCUUCCUUCGGGAAGUACUCGAGUGGCGAACGGGUGAGUAACACGUGGGUAACCUACCCUUGACUGGGGGAUAACCGGGGGAAACUCCGGCUAAUACCGCAUAACGUGCACCGUCUCAAGGCGGUGUACCAAAGUGGCUUCGGCUUUCGGUCAGGGAUGGGCCCGCGGCGGAUUAGCUUGUUGGUGGGGUAACGGCCUACCAAGGCGACGAUCCGUAGCUGGUCUGAGAGGACGAUCAGCCACACUGGAACUGAGACACGGUCCAGACUCCUACGGGAGGCAGCAGUGGGGAAUCUUGCGCAAUGGGCGAAAGCCUGACGCAGCAACGCCGCGUGAGGGAAGACGGCCUUCGGGUUGUAAACCUCUUUCAGGUGGGACGAAGCUUCCAGGGUGAAUAUCCCUGUGGAGUGACGGUACCAUCACAAGAAGCACCGGCUAACUACGUGCCAGCAGCAGCCGCGGUAA